rnacentral:rRNA from 1 species
UACGUAGGGUGCGAGCGUUUGUCCGGAAUUAUUGGGCGUAAGGGGCUCGUAGGCGGUUUGUCGCGUCGGGAGUGAAAUCCACUGGCUUAACUGGUGGCUUGCUUUCGAUACGGGCAGACUGGAGGUAUGCAGGGGGAGAACGGAAUUCCUGGUGUAGCGGUGAAAUGCGCAGAUAUCAGGAGGAACACCGGUGGCGAAGGCGGUUCUCUGGGCCUUACCUGACGCUGAGGCGCGAAAGCUAGGGGAGCGAACAGG